GACGAACGCUGGCGGCGUGCUUAACACAUGCAAGUCGAACGGAAAGGCCCUGCUUUUGUGGGGUGCUCGAGUGGCGAACGGGUGAGUAACACGUGAGUAACCUGCCCUUGACUUUGGGAUAACUUCAGGAAACUGGGGCUAAUACCGGAUAGGAGCUCCUGCUGCAUGGUGGGGGUUGGAAAGUUUCGGCGGUUGGGGAUGGACUCGCGGCUUAUCAGCUUGUUGGUGGGGUAGUGGCUUACCAAGGCUUUGACGGGUAGCCGGCCUGAGAGGGUGACCGGCCACAUUGGAACAGAGAUACGGCACAGACUCCUACGGGAGGCAGCAGUGGGGAAUAUUGCACAAUGGGCGGAAGCCUGAUGCAGCAACGCCGCGUGCGGGAUGACGGCCUUCGGGUUGUAAACCGCUUUCGCCUGUGACGAAGCGUGAGUGACGGUAAUGGGUAAAGAAGCACCGGCUAACUACGUG
rnacentral:rRNA from 1 species